rnacentral:rRNA from 1 species
AACAAGUACCGUUCAAAUAGGGCGGUACCUUGACGGUACCUAACCAGAAAGCCCCGGCUAACUACGUGCCAGCAGCCGCGGUAAUACGUAGGGGGCAAGCGUUGUCCGGAAUUAUUGGGCGUAAAGGGCACGCAGGCGGUCUUCUAAGUCUGAUGUGAAAUCCCACGGCUUAACCGUGGUAGGUCAUUGGAAACUGGAGGACUUGAGUACAGAAGAGGAGAGUGGAAUUCCACGUGGAGCGGUGAAAUGCGUAGAGAUGUGGAGGAACACCAGUGGCGAAGGCGACUCUCUGGUCUGUAACUGACGCUGAGGUGCGAAAGCGUGGGUAGCGAACAGGAUUAGAUACCCUGGUAGUCCACGCCGUAAACGAUGAGUGCUAGGUGUCAAGGGGUUUCCGCCCCUUGGUGCUGCAGUUAACGCAUUAAGCACUCCGCCUGGGGAGUACGGCCGCAAGGCUGAAACUCAAAAGAAUUGACGGGGGCCCGCACAAGCGGUGGAGCAUGUGGUUUAAUUCGAAGCAACGCGAAGAACCUUACCAGGUCUUGACAUCCUCUGACACCUCUAGAGAUAGAGCAUUCCCUUCGGGGACAGAGUGACAGGUGGUGCAUGGUUGUCGUCAGCUCGUGUCGUGAGAUGUUGGGUUAAGUCCCGUAACGAGCGCAACCCUUGAUCUUAGUUGCCAGCAUUUAGUUGGGCACUCUAAGGUGACUGCCGGUGACAAACCGGAGGAAGGUGGGGAUGACGUCAAAUCAUCAUGCCCCUUAUGACCUGGGCUACACACGUGCUACAAUGGAUGGAACAAAGGGCAGCGAAACCGCAAGGUGGAGCGAAUCCCACAAAACCAUUCUCAGUUCGGAUUGUAGGCUGCAAUUCGCCUACAUGAAGCAGGAAUCGCUAGUAAUCGCGGAUCAGCAUGCCGCGGUGAAUACGUUCCCGGGCCUUGUACACACCGCCCGUCACACCACGAGAGUUGACAACACCCGAAGUCGGUGAGGUAACCCUUACGGGAUCCAACCGCCGAAGGUGGGGGCAAUGAUUGGGGUGAAGUCGUAACAAGGUAACC